CGGUCCGGUCCGAAGUCAGUGGGUUACCCGCUAACCUUCGCGGUUGGUACCCCUCCCAUUGACGAUAACUUGACCGAAGU
rnacentral:sRNA from 1 species